UGGGGUGUGACUGCGUACCUUUUGUAUAAUGGGUCAGCGACUUAUAUUCUGUAGCAAGGUUAACCGAAUAGGGGAGCCGGAGGGAAACCGAGUCUUAAUUGGGCGUUAAGUUGCAGGGUAUAGACCCGAAACCCGGUGAUCUAGCCAUGGGCAGGUUGAAGGUUGGGUAACACUAACUGGAGGACCGAACCGACUAAUGUUGAAAAAUUAGCGGAUGACCUGUGGCUGGGGGUGAAAGGCCAAUCAAACCGGGAGAUAGCUGGUUCUCCCCGAAAGCUAUUUAGGUAGCGCCUCGUGAAUUCAUCUCCGGGGGUAGAGCACUGUUUCGGCUAGGGGGCCAUCCCGGCUUACCAACCCGAUGCAAACUGCGAAUACCGGAGAAUGUUAUCACGGGAGACACACGGCGGGUGCUAACGUCCGUCGUGAAGAGGGAAACAACCCAGACCGCCAGCUAAGGUCCCAAAGUCAUGGUUAAGUGGGAAACGAUGUGGGAAGGCCCAGACAGCCAGGAUGUUGGCUUAGAAGCAGCCAUCAUUUAAAGAAAGCGUAAUAGCUCACUGGUCGAGUCGGCCUGCGCGGAAGAUGUAACGGGGCUAAACCAUGCACCGAAGCUGCGGCAGCGACACUAUGUGUUGUUGGGUAGGGGAGCGUUCUGUAAGCCUGUGAAGGUGUGUCGUGAGGCAUGCUGGAGGUAUCAGAAGUGCGAAUGCUGACAUAAGUAACGAUAAAGCGGGUGAAAAGCCCGCUCGCCGGAAGACCAAGGGUUCCUGUCCAACGUUAAUCGGGGCAGGGUGAGUCGACCCCUAAGGCGAGGCCGAAAGGCGUAGUCGAUGGGAAACGGGUUAAUAUUCCCGUACUUGGUGUUACUGCGAAGGGGGGACGGAGAAGGCUAUGUUGGCCGGGCGACGGUUGUCCCGGUUUAAGCGUGUAGGUGUGUGUUCCAGGUAAAUCCGGUUCACUUUAACACUGAGGCGUGACGACGAGGCACUACGGUGCUGAAGCAACAAAUGCCCUGCUUCCAGGAAAAGCCUCUAAGCAUCAGGUAACAUCAAAUCGUACCCCAAACCGACACAGGUGGUCAGGUAGAGAAUACCAAGGCGCUUGAGAGAACUCGGGUGAAGGAACUAGGCAAAAUGGUGCCGUAACUUCGGGAGAAGGCACGCUGACACGUAGGUGAAGUGAUUUACUCAUGGAGCUGAAGUCAGUCGAAGAUACCAGCUGGCUGCAACUGUUUAUUAAAAACACAGCACUGUGCAAACACGAAAGUGGACGUAUACGGUGUGACGCCUGCCCGGUGCCGGAAGGUUAAUUGAUGGGGUCAGCGCAAGCGAAGCUCCUGAUCGAAGCCCCGGUAAACGGCGGCCGUAACUAUAACGGUCCUAAGGUAGCGAAAUUCCUUGUCGGGUAAGUUCCGACCUGCACGAAUGGCGUAAUGAUGGCCAGGCUGUCUCCACCCGAGACUCAGUGAAAUUGAACUCGCUGUGAAGAUGCAGUGUACCCGCGGCAAGACGGAAAGACCCCGUGAACCUUUACUAUAGCUUGACACUGAACAUUGAGCCUUGAUGUGUAGGAUAGGUGGGAGGCUUUGAAGUGUGGACGCCAGUCUGCAUGGAGCCGACCUUGAAAUACCACCCUUUAAUGUUUGAUGUUCUAACGUGGACCCGUGAUCCGGGUUGCGGACAGUGUCUGGUGGGUAGUUUGACUGGGGCGGUCUCCUCCUAAAGAGUAACGGAGGAGCACGAAGGUUGGCUAAUCCUGGUCGGACAUCAGGAGGUUAGUGCAAUGGCAUAAGCCAGCUUGACUGCGAGCGUGACGGCGCGAGCAGGUGCGAAAGCAGGUCAUAGUGAUCCGGUGGUUCUGAAUGGAAGGGCCAUCGCUCAACGGAUAAAAGGUACUCCGGGGAUAACAGGCUGAUACCGCCCAAGAGUUCAUAUCGACGGCGGUGUUUGGCACCUCGAUGUCGGCUCAUCACAUCCUGGGGCUGAAGUAGGUCCCAAGGGUAUGGCUGUUCGCCAUUUAAAGUGGUACGCGAGCUGGGUUUAGAACGUCGUGAGACAGUUCGGUCCCUAUCUGCCGUGGGCGCUGGAGAACUGAGGGGGGCUGCUCCUAGUACGAGAGGACCGGAGUGGACGCAUCACUGGUGUUCGGGUUGUCAUGCCAAUGGCACUGCCCGGUAGCUAAAUGCGGAAGAGAUAAGUGCUGAAAGCAUCUAAGCACGAAACUUGCCCCGAGAUGAGUUCUCCCUGAGACUUAAAGUCUCCUGAAGGAACGUUGAAGACGACGACGUUGAUAGGCCGGGUGUGUAAGCGCAGCGAUGCGUUGAGCUAACCGGUACUAAUGAACCGUGAGGCUUAACCUUACA
rnacentral:rRNA from 1 species